UAGAAGCUUGGUGAGUUGGUGACAUUGUUGGAUAGAUUGAAAUAGUGAAUAGUGAAAUAGUGAAAGAAGCGUUUGAAAAAAUAUUAUUCCAUGCAAAUGAGUUUCUUCAAACUACAGGAGACAGAGGGGGUAGAUUAUAUGUUGUUUUCUUGGUUUUAUAACUUUAUUUUGGUGUCAAGUUAGUGCCAUUAGUGCCCUGCUAACUUUAGUAGCAAGUAAGUAGCUAGAUACUAGACGAGUGGAGUUUUUUCUCGACAGAAUGGCUAGUUAACACUAAACUAUAGUGGAAUUGUUGUUGAAGAACCCCUUUCAUUGCACACAUCAGAUUCAAGCUUCUGAGAAAAAGACGCAUUGAUCAUGUAAUGGACGAAGGUCUGCGUAUUCAAACUGCGCAACAUAAAACAAGAAGAAAAAGGGAUACUCCAUUUUUGGGCUUUUUGGACACGUUGUCAAGCAAAGGGGCAUGACGGUAAGGAAAGUUCCGCUAACAAGGGCAACUAGUACAACUUGAAAAGUCAAAUCUUGUCCUGCCCUCAGUGGAAGAGUUCUUCUCCAACACCAUCCAUCCAUGAUGAGCCUGUCCUGCACUGAACCCUCUGAACACCUCAACCCUUGUCCUGCACUGAAAGCCUCUGAACACGUCAACUAUUUUAAUUACUGCUGCGGUCCCUUCCCAACAGUAUCUGUGUCUGGCUGCCGGGGAGUAACAGGUUGUCUCUGCUGCGGUGGCCCCUGAGAUUGGCUGUUGUGCUCAGCUUUUCUCUCCUGCUGACGAGGACAGAGAGAGACAGAGCCCAUGCAGCCACGACUGGCCCAGCUAAGCCAAUGGGGCAUGAGCAGUGAACGCUGCUGGACAAAUCGUGCGUCCUUCGCCGUGCACAGCACUGUGACACAGAUCCCCUACUGGAUUCUUAUAGACGACCACCUCAGUCUCUGCACCCUGCAGACGACCCUUGCGAGUGUGCGGAUAUUUCGUGUGUGUGUGUGAGUGAAAGGACUUUCUCUGUGUGUUCCACCGCAGCGGAGACAACCUGCUGAUAAUUUGUCACAGUGUUUCACAGCGUGUUUCACCUUAGUAUCAUACUGUGUGUGUGUGUGUGUGUGUGUGUGUGUGUGUGUGUGUGUGUGUGUGUUAGUCUAGAGCUGCUUAUUAGCCACAGAGCUUAGAACUCAGGCAGGCGAAGAAAGGCUUUGGUUUAAGGAGCCAAGAUACAGUAUCUCAAUAUAAUAUGUUUCAAGCGGCACUGGCUAUGCGAUUAUGUUUAAACAGUGCAACUGUGCAUCCUCCGUCCUGACUAUAUUUCACCCUAGCAACAGCUGCACCUCAUACGCAAACGUCCAUAUGCAUACACCCACACACGACACACAUAGAUCUCAGUUUAAUUGAGUGAACGACCAGCGUCUGUGGUUAAAGUACAUUCCUUCCUACUGCGUGUAGUGCAGCCAGCUUUCAGCUAUGCGGCUCCACCCCUUUAGUGACUUGCGGGCAGUAGGCAUGAGACCCGUCGCCACGCGUUACGGGCCAUGCCGUCUCCUCCACGCUUGUACGUAAAUGCAUCAUGGAGCCCUGACUCAUGAGUCUGAGAAAUCUGUGUGAAUAUGUAUGUCAGAGCGUAAACGUCUCUGUGUGUAAGAGCAGUGUGUGAAUCUGUGUGUGUCUGAGACUGUGUGUGUGUGUGUGUGUCUGAGAGGGAGAGAGAGAGAGAGAGAGAGAGAGAGACGAUGUGUGUGUGUUACACGAGGCACAUGUGUCUGAGCAGAUCCCCGUGCUCAGCAGUGACUUUCCCAGUGGGAAGGAGUCUCAUGGCUGUAUGCAUUUUGCUGUGCUGCUCACCUCUCCUUAGGAGCACACACUGAGGUAAACCAGACAUCACAGUCUGUACACACACACACACACACACACACACACAUUUUCCUUUGCAUUACAGACCUUUAAAACACUGACAAAGUUUCUGAUGUCUGGUCUGAUGAACAUUCAUGGCUCUCUAUAAGCCUGUCUACAAUUCUUCAAUAUCUGAGGGGUGUAAGAAAAUGAACAAAAUGACACAGUUGACUUUUUCCCCAGAAAAAUGACCCUGAUAAGUAUGGGUGUAUUGUGAAUCAUGACGAUAUGGAUUCUCUUCGUUAGGAAAAUGACCAAUUUCUCUUGCUUAGCAAAAAUGAAAGACUCUUCGUUGCACGUGGAAUGUCAACUACAGACAUUUGUGUUUUAAGGGAGGGUGACCGCAGGGGACAUUCUCCUCAGACUGACGUCAAGUCGUGAUGAGUCACGAGGACAAGGACACAGUCCUUCCCCAUUGCUCACUGUGUAGUUUUGUUAGAAUGUUUGGAAGGGUUGGGAUGAAGCAGAAGUCAAAUUUCAGUUGGACCUUUUUUGUGUUCGAUUGCCAAACAAAGUGAUGCUAAUCGCGUGUUUUGGACUACAGACGCCCCACCACCUUUCUGUGACAGUGUUAAGAAGAAGCAAGGACAAAGAACGUGUGUAGUUGCAGUGCGCACUCAUUAAUCUUACAUAUUAAUCAGAAGGGGGGGGGGGUGCAUUUUCAGUUAAGAGCAAUUAAACAUAACCGCAAGGUCAAAGUCUUCGACGUAGUCAACCUUUCUCAAGAAAGCAACUUUCAUUUAACACACCCAUCUCCCCACACACACGUUUAAAAAUCGUCUACUCGCUUUCUUAACUCACGUACAGCAUGACCUUCCGUCAGUGGAUAGAGGAAUGCUUUGUGUCACAAAACGGUCAUUAAGUAUUCAAUGAAUUGUCCCAAUAUCUUAGUGAAAUUGAAACGGUUCUAAGAGACUAGCCAAAUUUAUAAUCCAGAGCAAACAGUUCCAAGAUGUUCUACAAGACCAGCUCAAUCCACAACCCACAGCCAAGAUCCAAGAUGUUCUACAAGACCAGCUCAAUCCACAACCCAUAGCCAAGAUCCAAGAUGUUCUACAAGACCAGCUCAAUCCACAACCCAUAGCCAAGAUCCAAGAUGUUCUACAAGACCAGCCCAAUCAUCAUACCAGUGCUCUUCCACAACAUAAACCACAUUAAAACCCAGAGACAUACAGCCCCCCCCCCAAAAAAAAUGAACAUAUGCCCUUCUAAUUUUGCCAUAACUUCAUACCAGACCAAAACUGUCAGUAACACACAACAAACCCAAUUUACAACAACCAUUUACACUAUUCGAUAAAACAGGUCCCUUCAUUCUACUUUAAGAUUAUUCUCCGUUUUUGUUUUGUUUUUGACAAGUCUAAAGCACUAGCCAAGAGGAAAAUGGAGGGAAUCUAAAGCAUUUGCAUUUCAGACACAAAGCCUCAGUCUUCUCUGUCUGUGCGCUGUGCGACCAGGGUUAAAUCUGAGGUGUGUUUGCGUCUGCUAAACUCCAUGUACACAUAAUACCUAGGCAUUUCAGCUCUUGUCCCAUGCAGCUAGAAAAUUGGACGGAGAGUGAGGAACCCUCUACAAUGACAUUCACUAUUCAAAGAAGGAAAAUGUCAAAUCCUUUUCUGAAAGAGCACACUGCAUUUUCAGGACAUCUUUUGGGAGAUACAGUCCGUCGACCUACACCAUUAUUCAGACGUCGACCAUUUUUAGGUCCAUGAUUAGCCUACUAUUUUACAACAGCUGUGAUUUAUUUUACAUUCUACACUAUUACUCAAGGGGAGACGUAUCGCUCUCUUCUAGCACCUAGCAGACUCUAAUAUCCAUGAUUUAUUCCAUCCGUUUAUCCAUUAUUUGUAUUCUCUACAGUAGAAGUCUGGCCCAGUGGUUUCCCCCAACAGAUGAUUCAACAGAGAGCAAUUUGUGUGUUUUGAAUGGAGAUAUUAGAAGAGCACAUCAGUCUUGAUGAUAAAGAACUGAUGUGGGAGAUGGUGUUCUUUUUUUUGCUGCCACACAGAAUCUGCUACUCAUCCCUCUCUCAGCACUGGGGCCAGGGAGGCUGGUCUCCCUGCUGAACCCUCCUCCUCCCUGCAGUGGUCGGGUCUCCCACCCACUCUCCAGGGACUAAGA